ACCACGGUAGGAUUCAUGACUGGGGUGAAGUCGUAACAAGGUAGCCGUAUCGGAAGGUGCGGCUGGAUCACCUCCUUUCCAG
rnacentral:rRNA from 1 species